CGCGUAGGUGGUUGAGUCAGUCAGAUGUGAAAGCCCCGGGCUUAACCUGGGAACUGCACCUGAUACUGCUUGACUAGAGUACGGUAGAGGGCAGUGGAAUUUCCUGUGUAGCGGUGAAAUGCGUAGAUAUAGGAAGGAACACCAGUGGCGAAGGCGACUGCCUGGACUGAUACUGACACUGAGGUGCGAAAGCGUGGGUAGCAAACA
rnacentral:rRNA from 1 species